rnacentral:rRNA from 1 species
GCUCCAAUAGCGUAUAUUAAAGUUGUUGUGGUUAAAAAGCUCGUAGUUGGAUCUCAACGAUCUUGCAGCGGUCGACUAAGUGUUGUACUGCUUCAUAGGUCGUAGCUUUGCUGGAGGUUUAGAGGUGCUCUUGAUCGAGUGUCUCUAGAUGCCAGCAGGUUUACUUUGAAAAAAUUAGAGUGCUCAAAGCAGGCUAUUCC